UCAGUUCGGAUCGCAGUCUGCAACUCGACUGCGUGAAGGUGGAGUCGCUAGUAAUCGCGGAUCAGCAACGCCGCGGUGAAUGCGUUCCCGGGCCUUGUACACACCGCCCGUCAAGUCAUGAAAGUGGGCAGCACCCGAAGACGGUGGCCUAACCCUUGUGGGGGGAGCCGUCUAAGGUGAGGCUCGUGAUUGGGACUAAGUCGUAACAAGGUAGC
rnacentral:rRNA from 1 species